AUUGAACGCUGGCGGCAUGCUUUACACAUGCAAGUCGAACGGUAACAGGCCGCAAGGUGCUGACGAGUGGCGAACGGGUGAGUAAUGCAUCGGAACGUGCCCAGUCGUGGGGGAUAACGCAGCGAAAGCUGCGCUAAUACCGCAUACGAUCUAUGGAUGAAAGCGGGGGACCGUAAGGCCUCGCGCGAUUGGAGCGGCCGAUGUCAGAUUAGGUAGUUGGUGGGGUAAAGGCUCACCAAGCCAACGAUCUGUAGCUGGUCUGAGAGGACGACCAGCCACACUGGGACCGAGACACGGCCCAGACUCCUACGGGAGGCAGCAGUGGGGAAUUUUGGACAAUGGGCGCAAGCCUGAUCCAGCAAUGCCGCGUGCAGGAAGAAGGCCUUCGGGUUGUAAACUGCUUUUGUACGGAACGAAACGGCUCUGGUUAAUACCUGGGGCUAAUGACGGUACCGUAAGAAUAAGCACCGGCUAACUACGUGCCAGCCGCCGCAGUAAUAC
rnacentral:rRNA from 1 species